AUUGAACGCUGGCGGCAUGCCUUACACAUGCAAGUCGAACGGUAACAGGUCUUCGGAUGCUGACGAGUGGCGAACGGGUGCGUAAUACAUCGGAACGUGCCUAGUAGUGGGGGAUAACUACUCGAAAGAGUGGCUAAUACCGCAUGAGCUCUACGGAUGAAAGCAGGGGAUCGCAAGACCUUGUGCUACUAGAGCGGCCGAUGGCAGAUUAGGUAGUUGGUGGGAUAAAAGCUUACCAAGCCGGCGAUCUGUAGCUGGUCUGAGAGGACGAUCAGCCACACUGGGACUGAGACACGGCCCAGACUCCUACGGGAGGCAGCAGUGGGGAAUUUUGGACAAUGGGCGAAAGCCUGAUCCAGCAAUGCCGCGUGCAGGAUGAAGGCCUUCGGGUUGUAAACUGCUUUUGUACGGAACGAAAAGCCCCGGGUUAAUACCCUGGGGUCAUGACGGUACCGUAAGAAUAAGCACCGGCUAACUACGUGCCAGCCGCCGCGGUAA
rnacentral:rRNA from 1 species